ACCCAGCACAUCCACACUCUUGCAUCAAAGGUGCAAGGACUUGCUCACAUCGAGAAUCUGGUUGCUUUCUUGGAGACCAAGAAAAUGAGUUUUUGUUUCUACAUUUACUCCAGCAAUCCAUGAGACAGUAGCCAUGUGUGUUGGAUUUUACCAGGUUUCUUCUCUACUGUGCCUUCAUCCCCACCCUGGGCCCUGACAGAGACAGUGUGACAAGUUCUGAGCCCCACAGGUGGAAUCCCAAACCAAGCAGCUCUUGCUGGUCACCCCAAGGUCUACUUAUACAUGAAGGUUUGAAAAUCAUCUCCUGAACCUCUUCUGACAGAGAUCAGGGUGUUGACAGAAAGUAUGCUCAAACAUCUUCGGAAAUGGGUCGUCACUCGUUUUUUUGGUCAUUCUCGGCAAAGAACAAGGCUAGUCUCCAAAGAUGGAAGGUGCAACAUAGAAUUUGGCAAUGUGGAAGCACAGUCAAGGUUUAUAUUCUUUGUGGACAUCUGGACAACGGUACUUGACCUCAAAUGGAGAUAC
rnacentral:sRNA from 1 species